AUGAACGCUAGCUACAGGCUUAACACAUGCAAGUCGAGGGGCAGCAUGGUCUUAGCUUGCUAAGACUGAUGGCGACCGGCGCACGGGUGAGUAACACGUAUCCAACCUGCCGUCUACUCUUGGACAGCCUUCUGAAAGGAAGAUUAAUACAAGAUGGCAUCAUGAGUCCGCAUGUUCACAUGAUUAAAGGUAUUCCGGUAGACGAUGGGGAUGCGUUCCAUUAGAUAGUAGGCGGGGUAACGGCCCACCUAGUCUUCGAUGGAUAGGGGUUCUGAGAGGAAGGUCCCCCACAUUGGAACUGAGACACGGUCCAAACUCCUACGGGAGGCAGCAGUGAGGAAUAUUGGUCAAUGGGCGAGAGCCUGAACCAGCCAAGUAGCGUGAAGGAUGACUGCCCUAUGGGUUGUAAACUUCUUUUAUAAAGGAAUAAAGUCGGGUAUGCAUACCCGUUUGCAUGUACUUUAUGAAUAAGGAUCGGCUAACUCCGUGCCAGCAGCCGCGGUAAUACGGAGGAUCCGAGCGUUAUCCGGAUUUAUUGGGUUUAAAGGGAGCGUAGAUGGAUGUUUAAGUCAGUUGUGAAAGUUUGCGGCUCAACCGUAAAAUUGCAGUUGAUACUGGAUAUCUUGAGUGCAGUUGAGGCAGGCGGAAUUCGUGGUGUAGCGGUGAAAUGCUUAGAUAUCACGAAGAACUCCGAUUGCGAAGGCAGCCUGCUAAGCUGCAACUGACAUUGAGGCUCGAAAGUGUGGGUAUCAAACAGGAUUAGAUACCCUGGUAGUCCACACGGUAAACGAUGAAUACUCGCUGUUUGCGAUAUACGGCAAGCGGCCAAGCGAAAGCGUUAAGUAUUCCACCUGGGGAGUACGCCGGCAACGGUGAAACUCAAAGGAAUUGACGGGGGCCCGCACAAGCGGAGGAACAUGUGGUUUAAUUCGAUGAUACGCGAGGAACCUUACCCGGGCUUAAAUUGCAGAUGAAUUACGGUGAAAGCCGUAAGCCGCAAGGCAUCUGUGAAGGUGCUGCAUGGUUGUCGUCAGCUCGUGCCGUGAGGUGUCGGCUUAAGUGCCAUAACGAGCGCAACCCCUCUCCUUAGUUGCCAUCAGGUCAUGCUGGGCACUCUGGGGACACUGCCACCGUAAGGUGUGAGGAAGGUGGGGAUGACGUCAAAUCAGCACGGCCCUUACGUCCGGGGCUACACACGUGUUACAAUGGGGGGUACAGAGGGCCGCUACCACGCGAGUGGAUGCCAAUCCCAAAAACCUCUCUCAGUUCGGACUGGAGUCUGCAACCCGACUCCACGAAGCUGGAUUCGCUAGUAAUCGCGCAUCAGCCACGGCGCGGUGAAUACGUUCCCGGGCCUUGUACACACCGCCCGUCAAGCCAUGGGAGCCGGGGGUACCUGAAGUGCGUAACCGCGAGGAGCGCCCUAGGGUAAAACUGGUGACUGGGGCU
rnacentral:rRNA from 1 species